rnacentral:rRNA from 1 species
UACGGAGGGUGCGAGCGUUGUCCGGAAUCACUGGGCGUAAAGGGCGCGUAGGCGGCGCGGAUAGUCGGCGGUGAAAGCCCGGAGCUCAACUCCGGGUCGGCCGUCGAUACUUCCGGGCUUGAGCACUGUAGAGGCAGAUGGAAUUCCCGGUGUAGCAGUGAAAUGCGUAGAGAUCGGGAGGAACAUCUGUGGCGAAGGCGGCCAUCUGGACCAGCACUGACACUGAGGCACGAAAGCGGUGGGGAGCAAACAGG